UACGUAGGUGGCAAGCGUUGUCCGGAUUUACUGGGCGUAAAGAGCGCGCAGGCGGUCGUUCAAGUCGCGUGUGAAAUCCCACGGCCCAACCGUGGAACUGCGUUUGAUACUGUUCGGCUCGAGUCCGGGAGAGGGUAGCGGAAUUCCCAGUGUAGCGGUGAAAUGCGUAGAUAUUGGGAGGAACACCGGUGGCGAAGGCGGCUACCUGGACCGGUACUGACGCUGAGGCGCGAAAGCUAGGGUAGCAAACAGG
rnacentral:rRNA from 1 species